rnacentral:rRNA from 1 species
GAUGAACGCUGGCGGCGUGCCUAAUACAUGCAAGUCGAGCGAACAGACGAGGAGCUUGCUCCUCUGACGUUAGCGGCGGACGGGUGAGUAACACGUGGAUAACCCACCUAUAAGACUGGGAUAACUUCGGGAAACCGGAGCUAAUACCGGAUAAUAUAUUGAACCGCAUGGUUCAAUAGUGAAAGACGGUUUUGCUGUCACUUAUAGAUGGAUCCGCGCCGCAUUAGCUAGUUGGUAAGGUAACGGCUUACCAAGGCAACGAUGCGUAGCCGACCUGAGAGGGUGAUCGGCCACACUGGAACUGAGACACGGUCCAGACUCCUACGGGAGGCAGCAGUAGGGAAUCUUCCGCAAAGGGCGAAAGCCUGACGGAGCAACGCCGCGUGAGUGAUGAAGGUCUUCGGAUCGUAAAACUCUGUUAUUAGGGAAGAACAAAUGUGUAAGUAACUAUGCACGUCUUGACGGUACCUAAUCAGAAAGCCACGGCUAACUACGUG